rnacentral:lncRNA from 1 species
ACACAAACCAUAAAUACUAGAGGUAGAGCCAUCAGCAAGAGUAACACAAGACAGAGAGCCACUAGGUGACAAAUUGGACAAGUGAUCCAAGAGUACCAGUCAUAUGAGCAGAAGCACCGAAAUCGAUGACCCAUAGGCUAGAAAAGGCAAUGCAUAUGAUAAAGGCAAAAGUCUGUGUCCGAGUAAAAGUAGCAGUAAUAGAUAACUGAGCAGCUAACAAUCG